GUCUAUAGCUCAGUUGGAAGAGCGCCUGAUUUGCAUUCAGGAGGUCGAGAGUUCGAGUCUCUUUAGAUCC
rnacentral:tRNA from 1 species